CACACUUAUUCCAUGUUUCUUGUUAGGUCAGUCACACUUAUUCCAUGUUUCUUGUUAGGUCAGUCACACUUAUUCCAUGUUUCUUGUUAGGUCAGUCACACU